rnacentral:rRNA from 1 species
GGGGAAUAUUGCACAAUGGGCGCAAGCCUGAUGCAGCAACGCCGCGUGAGGGAUGACGGCCUUCGGGUUGUAAACCUCUUUUAGUAGGGAAGAAGCGCAAGUGACGGUACCUGCAGAAAAAGCACCGGCUAACUACGUGCCAGCAGCCGCGGUAAUACGUAGGGUGCAAGCGUUGUCCGGAAUUAUUGGGCGUAAAGAGCUCGUAGGCGGCUUGUCGCGUCUGCCGUGAAAACCCGAGGCUCAACCUCGGGCGUGCGGUGGGUACGGGCAGGCUAGAGUGCGGUAGGGGAGAUUGGAAUUCCUGGUGUAGCGGUGGAAUGCGCAGAUAUCAGGAGGAACACCGAUGGCGAAGGCAGAUCUCUGGGCCGUAACUGACGCUGAGGAGCGAAAGCAUGGGGAGCGAAC